GCGGGUAUGAUGUAAUGGUUAGCUUGAAACGUUGCCAACGUUUACGUGGGAGUUCGAUUCUCCCUACCCGCUCCA
rnacentral:tRNA from 1 species